CUCUUUCUCGGUCGAUCACAGGCGGAAGGAAAACACAGCAAGGGAAAAGCGCGCACAAAGUUUUUGCAGAGUCCAUACAUAUAUAUAUAUCUAUACUGUCUGGUUCUCCUUGGGUUGCUCAUAGUAACGGCACGUCCAGCACCGGUGCAACAGUCAGAACAGACAGAAGUAAAGAAGGCACUGGGAAUUGAGGGGCGUUUAUUCUGCUCCCCGGCCCCGUCUUCCAGCUCAGGGGGCUGAGUACCCUGAGAAUAGCUGGUCUCACUGCUAAAGACAGAAGUGAAGAAGGCGUUGAGAACUUCAGCCUUUUCCUCCUCCUCGGUGGUGAUGUUCCCCACCGCGUCGAAUAAAGAAGGGAGAUUCUCCUUGGCCCUCCUCUUGCUACUAAUACGUUCGUAAAAACAUUGUUUUAAUCAUCUCGAACAAUGGCGGCCAGAUUAAGGUCUUGCUGGGCUUUGGCUUGUCGAAUUUUCUCCCUGCGCAUGCUAGCAACAUCCUGGCACUCUCCCCGAGUUGCCCGUCCUUCAUCCAAGAUGGCAAACUCCUGGCCUGCCCCGCCAACAUUUGACGGUCAUUUGACGGGAGGGAUCGGCACCAAAAAGCCCCCAGCGCCUAAGUCCCUGAGCCCCGAUAAGCACCGGGCCGACGGGAGCGGAGCCGCCUACAGGGCGGGGACAAGCUUAAAGGGCAGGCGAGACAGCCAACCGAGGCGCGAGAACGGCCGGCACGGCUCUGUCGGCCCAAUGAGCGCCGACGAGGGCCGAGCCGUGCCGAGCCGAGGCGAGCCGAGCGGAGCCGAGCCGAGCCGAGCCGAGCCGAGCGGGGGAGGUUUGGGGCUGAGGGAGUGUUGUAGCGAGCGGGCGCCGUCAUGGCCGGCGGGAUCGUUAGGUCGCCGGCCGCCUGGCGCGGUGGCGCCGCUCUCUUGGGAAAAGUCGCCCGCCAGGAGUCUCCGCCAACGUUAUCCGCGAGGAGGAGCCGUUGUGGACGAGGAGUGCCUUGCGUUCCAUGAUAUUUCACCGCAAGCUCCUACGCUUUUUUCCUAGCCGCUCCCCAGAAGGCCGUUGUGAGGUUAUCCGGAGCAGAAGAUUGUGGCGCACCUCUUCUUGGCCGUUUGAUGAUUGAUGGCGAGAAGUGUGCUGCUAACCUGGGCCUGACCAAUGGAUUCCGGAUGGCUGUGAGAUACCCACCCUCAGCCCCUUCAGACUACCGCGCACGUCUCUGUAUUCUGGGUGGCCGUCAGUUGGGCCGGCCUCCUGGCUAAGAUGUUUGCACCGCAGGAGUUGCUGCACGCGUACGGAUCGCCACCGAAUGGAUUUCACGUGUUGCCCGUCAGCCUAGCCACCGUUGACAUAUAAUUGUUUUUGGUGGGUGUCUAUGGAGGGUAAUGAAAAGCUUUGAGCAGCAUUUGCACAAUAAAGAUGGAGCAUGGGGAUAUCAUCUCUGUCUCGCUUGUCUUACUGAUGGAAAUGAUUCUGCAAGUUAAAACGGUGGGUCUCCGUCUCCCAAAGACAAUAUAGGAUGUGCUGUGUGUUUGAGGCCUUGCCGUCUUCCCCCAGCUUCCAAAUAAAAGGGCGUGGGUUUUAUCGCGUACUAGCAGCAUCGACAAGCAGCAGGCGUAGAAUUAGAGAAGAAUAACGUAGGAAGAAUGCUUCCAGCUGUCGUCUGUUGUAUGGCCCCGUCGCGAGGCCGAACAAACUCCACCCCAUGAUUUCUCUGACCGGUGCACGUCAGCCUGCUUUUAAGCAAUCUCGGAGUUUUGCCACUGCUUUCUUUUCAGUCGCGGAUUUUGCGACGUAGAGAAAUAAUUUCUCCCGCGGAAACUUUCCCAAAUGGAAAAGACUUUGUGAUACUUGAGUCGGCGAUUGUUGCGCUUCUGCUGUCUUUGAGACUCAGCUGCCCUUCUCCAUUUCUCUUUUUUUAAUAUGAACAAAACAUUAAAAAAAAAAAAAAAAAAAAAGGAGUAUUGUUCCGUAACCAGAAGGAGGAGUAGCUACAGGCACCGUAAGGCUUUUACAUGUAAUCACCUCUCGCGCUUUGUUAGGCCUCUGGCUUUGCUUGAGUCUUUGUUGAAUUGCAAUUGCAUUCAAGGCUUACUGGAGUGGGGGAGUUUCAAAAUGCUAAUAAAUAUUUGCAUUAAAAAUUAAA